AUUGAACGCUGGCGGCAGGCUUAACACAUGCAAGUCGAGCGGGGAGAUAUAGCUUGCUACAUCUCCUAGCGGCGGACGGGUGAGUAAUGCUUAGGAAUCUGCCUAUUAGUGGGGGACAACAUUCCGAAAGGAAUGCUAAUACCGCAUACGCCCUACGGGGGGGGAAAAGCAGGGGAUCUUCGGACCUUGCGCUAAUAGAUGAGCCUAAGUCAGAUUAGCUAGUUGGUGGGGUAAAGGCCUACCAAGGCGACGAUCUGUAGCGGGUCUGAGAGGAUGAUCCGCCACACUGGGACUGAGACACGGCCCAGACUCCUACGGGAGGCAGCAGUGGGGAAUAUUGGACAAUGGGCGAAAGCCUGAUCCAGCCAUGCCGCGUGUGUGAAGAAGGCCUUUUGGUUGUAAAGCACUUUAAGCGAGGAGGAGGCUACUUAGAUUAAUACUCUAGGAUAGUGGACGUUACUCGCAGAAUAAGCACCGGCUAACUCUGUG
rnacentral:rRNA from 1 species